GAUGAACGCUAGCGGCAGGCCUAAUACAUGCAAGUCGAACGGGAUUGCGGUGUAGCUUGCUACACUGCAUGAGAGUGGCGCACGGGGGCGUAACGCGUGAGCAACCUACCCAUAUCAGGGGGAUAGCCCGGAGAAAUCCGGAUUAACACCGCAUGGGACAGUAUUACCGCAUGGUAUAGCGGGUAAAUAUUUAUAGGAUAGGGAUGGGCUCGCGUGCCAUUAGCUAGGUGGUGGGGUAACGGCCCACCAAGGCAACGCUGUCUAGGGGCUCCGGGAGGAGAAUCCCCCACACUGGUACUGAGACACGGACCAGACUCCUACGGGAGGCAGCAGUAAGGAAUAUUGGUCAUUGGGCGGAAGCCUGACCCAGCCAUGCCUCGUGCAGGACGACUGCCCUAUGGGUUGUAAACUGCUUUUGUACGGGAAUAACCCUCUCUACGAGUAGAGAGCUGAACGUACCGUAAGAAUAAGGAUCGGCUAACUCCGUGCCAGCAGCCGCCGUAA
rnacentral:rRNA from 1 species